GCUGUCUUAGCCUAGAUGCAUAGGCGCUUCCCUUGUAAGGAAGAUCAGGUGGGUUGGAUUCCUUCACAGACAGCACCA
rnacentral:tRNA from 1 species